GCAAACUUGGUCAUUUAGAGGAAGUAAAAGUCGUAACAAGGUCUCCGUUGGUGAACCAGCGGAGGGAUCAUUACAGGAGCUUUACAACUCCCCAACCACUGUUUACCUACCUUUUGUUGCUUUGGCAGGCGGCCCCUGGGAGGGGCUGUAGCUAUCUUUAGCGCCUGCCAGAGGGUUUUUCAAACUCGUUUUUAGUGAUUGUCUGAGUACCUAUAAAAUGAAUCAAAACUUUCAACAACGGAUCUCUUGGUUCUGGCAUCGAUGAAGAACGCAGC
rnacentral:misc_RNA from 1 species